rnacentral:rRNA from 1 species
UACGAAGGGGGGCUAGCGUUGCUCGGAAUCACUGGGCGUAAAGGGUGCGUAGGCGGGUCUUUAAGUCAGGGGUGAAAUCCUGGAGCUCAACUCCAGAACUGCCUUUGAUACUGAGGAUCUCGAGUCCGGGAGAGGUGAGUGGAACUCCGAGUGUAGAGGUGAAAUUCGUAGAUAUUCGGAAGAACACCAGUGGCGAAGGCGGCUCACUGGCCCGGUACUGACGCUGAGGUGCGAAAGCGUGGGGAGCAAACAGG